rnacentral:tRNA from 4 species
AGGAGUGUAGUUCAAUGGUAGAACAGCAGGCUUCAACCCUGCGUGUUAUGGGUUCGAGUCCUGUCACUCCUGCCA